UCUCUGCACCGGUGCAUUGUUGGCUCUCAAGUUGCAUCUCCUAUCGAUGAGCCCCAUCCAAUCUCCUAUUAGUAUAGUAAACUAAGUGGUAAGAGUGUAAGACGCUUGCCAGUUGGGUCGUGUGGCUUUUAUAGUAUGCGUACUACUUGAUAUUUAUUUUUUGAGUUAUGCAUUUCCCUAUAUUUAUUAGAAAACAUUUGUAUCUUUUAGUUUUUGCAUCAAUACUAUAUAAGUAUAUAGUGGCGAGUAAUACCUGCCUGUUCUACAUUAAUUCUACAUAAGCUCCGCUAUAGCCUUUAAAACAGAGGUCUGUAAAACAGAGUAAUACCUGCCUGUUCUACAUUGUUUUACAUGCCUCUGUAGAAGAAUACAUUACGAAAUAUUUGUAUGUUUUAGUUAGUAACUUAGUAUUAUUCUCUUGAUUUGAAUCACAAGGUCUGCUCACAAAUUAUCUGUUUUUCACAAUCGUGGGUAGUACUAUUUCCAUCUGAAUGCAGAGAAUAAUUAUUAUUUGGCAUCAAUUAAUGGUUCGUUUUUUUUUUGGAUCUAUUAGUUGGCUUAGGUUGUGCCUUUUGCCAGCAUCCACUUUAAUUAACUAAUUUACAUUUAAUCUUUUGCGCUAUUGGAGCUGCGAUUUUGAAGACCAGCCAUGUAGACAACCUAUGUGAAGGAUUUGUCACCUUGAGGAUUUCAAUGGAAGAUCGUUAUGUGUGUCGCUCGAAUCAAGCGACCCAAGAAAAUUUGUUCGAGCUAGAGUUCAUUCUCAUUGACCAGCAGGGCAACAUUAUGGAAGGUUGAAGGUUCAAUAUAUAGGUCCAAGUCUUCUAUAGUUUCUGCCACGCAGAGCAAAUACAGGGCAACAGAUCAUCCAUAUAGACUCAAAAAUACACAACGCACAGAGUUAUCGAUUCGAUUCCUCAGCCUGAAACUUUCCUCUGUUCUGAGUAUAAAGCAAAGUCAUUUGAUGCUCUGCAGUCAGGCACAGGGGACAAUACCGUUCUGUGAGGUUUUCAAUGAACUACAUCAAGCACCAAAAUCUCACCUCAAGCAACAUGUCAGCUAGCGUGAAAGAGAGAAGAAGUGGUGAAGCACCCAAUUUGCUUUGAGAUAUCUAUUUUUUCAGACCAUGUAAUGUGUUAUCCUUCUACCUACCGAUGUAGAAAGUAUGAACCCUAUCAUUAUGCCGUAAUAUCAAGUAUAACCCCUGUUCAUAAAUAUAAGAUGGUUUGGUAGGCUACCUAGGUUUGCUAUUUCAUUGAUGUUUUGAAGCAUCUAUAACCAAGG